rnacentral:rRNA from 1 species
ACGUACACUCCUACGGGAGGCAGCAGUGGGGAAUAUUGCACAAUGGGCGCAAGCCUGAUGCAGCCAUGCCGCGUGUAUGAAGAAGGCCUUCGGGUUGUAAAGUACUUUCAGCGGGGAGGAAGGCAAUACGGUUAAUAACCGUGUUGAUUGACGUUACCCGCAGAAGAAGCACCGGCUAACUCUGUGCCAGCAGCCGCGGUAAUACGGAGGGUGCAAGCGUUAAUCGGAAUUACUGGGCGUAAAGCGCACGCAGGCGGUCUGUCAAGUCGGAUGUGAAAUCCCCGGGCUCAACCUGGGAACUGCAUUCGAAACUGGCAGGCUUGAGUCUUGUAGAGGGGGGUAGAAUUCCAGGUGUAGCGGUGAAAUGCGUAGAGAUCUGGAGGAAUACCGGUGGCGAAGGCGGCCCCCUGGACAAAGACUGACGCUCAGGUGCGAAAGCGUGGGGAGCAAACAGGAUUAGAAACCCUUGUAGUCCC